UCUCAGUUGUGUGGUCGCAUGUAUGACUCGCAUUCACGAGGUCGUAGGUUCGAAUCCAAUCGGAUGAA